CUGUUCAGUUUUUCAUCCUACAAUAUCAAGUACUGUAACUACUGCUGAAACUACUGUAACUACCACUGGAUUGAUAGUUGGUGUAACUGUGGUCUAUAUACCCAUCAUAGCACUGGCUGUAUUGAUAAUUGUUUUGCAUGUGAAAAGAACAGACCAAAAGAGAAAACCAGAGAACGACAUUGCAUUGCAAAGCAUUCCAACUUAUGCUACAAUUGAUUUUAAGCAAAAUCAUCAAACAGUCCUGAGACUCCUGAAUAUGAAGUACUACCUUUUUAAUAAUGUUCACACUCGUCUUUUAUCAUGUACACUAUUAGUGAUGCAAAUAAAUGUAUAUUUAAUGC